rnacentral:lncRNA from 1 species
GCCUUAGGAACCCCAUUUUUUUAAUUGCAGGCCUGCUUUAAAGAUUGUGCAUAUCAAAUUUGGUGCCUUUUUUGGGCUAGGGUAUUAUAUUUUCUCCCUCUAAAAAAAAAAUUUCAUCCUCAAAAUUUUCUUAUUUGGGAUUCAUAGUUCAAAUCUCAUCCUCAAACAUUUUGAUUUUUCAAUCAUUGAUGUAUUUUUUCAUCAUAAAAUCAUUUCAUUAGGGA